rnacentral:rRNA from 1 species
UACGUAGGGGGCGAGCGUUGUCCGGAAUGACUGGGCGUAAAGGGCGCGUAGACGGCUUUUUAAGUCUGGAGUGAAAGUCCUGCUUUCAAGGUGGGAAUUGCUUUGGAGACUGGAAGGCUUGAGUGCGGAAGAGGUAAGUGGAAUUCCCAGUGUAGCGGUGAAAUGCGUAGAGAUUGGGAAGAACACCAGUGGCGAAGGCGACUUACUGGGCCGUAACUGACGUUGAUGCGCGAAAGCGUGGGGAGCGAAC